AACGCGAAGAACCUUACCAGGUCUUGACAUCCUCUGACAAUCCUAGAGAUAGGACGUCCCCUUCGGGGGCAGAGUGACAGGUGGUGCAUGGUUGUCGUCAGCUCGUGUCGUGAGAUGUUGGGUUAAGUCCCGCAACGAGCGCAACCCUUGAUCUUAGUUGCCAGCAUUCAGUUGGGCACUCUAAGGUGACUGCCGGUGACAAACCGGAGGAAGGUGGGGAUGACGUCAAAUCAUCAUGCCCCUUAUGACCUGGGCUACACACGUGCUACAAUGGACAGAACAAAGGGCAGCGAAACCGCGAGGUUAAGCCAAUCCCACAAAUCUGUUCUCAGUUCGGAUCGCAGUCUGCAACUCGACUGCGUGAAGCUGGAAUCGCUAGUAAUCGCGGAUCAGCAUGCCG
rnacentral:rRNA from 2 species